rnacentral:tRNA from 1 species
GGCACGGUGGCGAAGUGGAAACGCUGCGGUCUGCAAAACCGCCAUUGCGCGGGUUCGAUUCCCGCCCGUGCCUC